rnacentral:ncRNA from 1 species
UUUGAGAGAGAGUUAAAAAGUACGUGAAUCCGUCGAGAGGAAACGGGAGGGCCUGUCGGGUCGUUCGGUCGCUUUCAGGCGGGCCGGAGACCGGGUCGCGGGAUCGGGGACCUUCGCGGGCCUCGACUCGCGUCGCCGGCCGACGGCUCGGCGCACUAGCGUCGGACGAGGGCCGCGACCGGCUGGGCGGCGGGCAAACGGCUCCGGGCAAGGUAACCCCGCUUCGGCGGGGUGCUACAGGCCCGGUGCGCGCAAGGGUCGCCGCCCGGUCGAGGAGAGAUGCGCGCCGCACCUGCCCCGUUCGCGGGGCCGGGGAAGCCGUUCGAGCAGCGUCGUGUCGCGGUCCGGGACUGUCCUCAGUCCCGGGUCGUCUCGGCGCGGUUCCGAGCGGUCGCUCCCUCGCGAGGUGCCGCGGGUCAGCGGCUGACGCCAGCCACCUUCCCGACCCGUCUUGAAACACGGACCAAGGAGUCUAACAUGUGCGCGAGCCGCGGGGCAGUACGAAACCCGUAAGGCGAAAUGAAGGUGAACGCCGGCGCGGUCCGGCAAAUCGAUCGUCAAAUUUGGGUAUAGGGGCGAAAGACUAAUCGAACCGUCUAGUAGCUGGUUCCCUUCGAAGUUUCCCUCAGGAUAGCUGGCGCUCUGUCGCAGUUUUAUCUGGUAAAGCGAAUGAUUAGAGGUCUUGGGGGCGAAACGCCCUCAACCUAUUCUCAAACUUUAAAUUGGUAAGAAGCCCGACUCGCUCGUUUGGAGCCGGGCAUGGAAUGCGAGUGCCAAGUGGGCCACUCUUGGUAAGCAGGACUGGCGAUGCGGGAUGAACCGAACG